GAAGGCGAGGACUUGGGCCAAUACUGACGCUUAGGCUUGAAAGUGUGGGGAGCAAAUAGGAUUAGAUACCCUAGUAGUCCACACUGUAAACGAUGGAUGUUAAGUGUCGGAGCGAAUACUUCGGUGCUGCAGUUAACACAUUAAACAUCCUGCCUGAGUAGUACAUUCGCAAGAAUGAAACUCAAACGGAAUUGACGGGGACCCGCACAAGUGGUGGAGCAUGUUGCUUAAUUCGACGGUACACGAAAAACCUUACCUAGACUUGACAUCUUGGGCGAAGCUAUAGAAAUAUAGUGGAGGUCAACCCAAUGACAGGUGGUGCAUGGUUGUCGUCAGCUCGUGUCGUGAGAUGUUGGGUUAAGUCCCGCAACGAGCGCAACCCUUAUCGUUAGUUACUUUGUCUAACGAGACUGCCAACGUAAGUUGGAGGAAGGUGGGGAUGACGUCAAAUCAUCAUGCCCCUUAUGUCUAGGGCUGCAAACGUGCUACAAUGGCCAAUACAAACA
rnacentral:rRNA from 1 species